rnacentral:SRP_RNA from 1 species
ACCGGGCACGGUGGUGCAUGCCUGUAGUCCCAGCUUUUCGGGAGGCUGAGGUGGGAGGAUCUCUUGAGCCCGAGAGUUCUGGGCUAUAUUGCACUAUGCCGAGCGGCUGUCUGCACAAAGUUCGGCAUCAAUAUGGUGACCUCCCUGGAGUGGGGAAACUCCAGGUUGCCUAAGGAGCGGUCAACCGGCCCGGGUCAGAAAUGGAGCAGGUCAAAACUCCCACGCUGAUCAGUAGUGGGAUCGCACAUUGCACUCCAGAGAGACUCCAUCUCUU